rnacentral:rRNA from 1 species
CAGUAGCCACGGUAAUACGAAGGGUGCAAGCGUUACUCGGAAUUACUGGGCGUAAAGCGUGCGUAGGUGGUUGUUUAAGUCUGCUGUGAAAGCCCUGGGCUCAACCUGGGAAUUGCAGUGGAUAUUGGGCAACUAGAGUAAGGUAGAGGAUAGUGGAAUUUCCGGUGUAGCAGUGAAAUGCGUAGAGAUCGGAAGGAACAUCUGUGGCGAAGGCGACUAUCUGGGCCAUUACUGACACUGAGGCACGAAAGCGUGGGGAGCAAACAGGAUUAGAUACCCCUGUAGUCCCUGUCUCUUAUAC